GGGGGAGGUAGUGGGAGGAGCUGGCCUAGCCUGGAGGGACCUGGAGGGACUUAGCCAAUGUGGUCCAGGUCCCUGUAGUCACCCUGUGAGAGGCCAAGGCGGGGCCAGAGCUCUGCCUACCUACUGGUCCAGGCUGAUCUUAGGGAUGCAGCCCAGCCCAGCCUCUGGGAAGAGAGAGCCUUUAGAGGCUAACAGAGGAGCAAGUAUGGAGGCUGGCUUCUGCUCUGAUGGCUGGACCAAGGCUAGGGGCAGGUGACAGCAUGAGGUAGGGGUUGAGAUGCGUGUACCCACAUAGCUGUCAGACUUGUAAAAUCUCCACGAUGUCCAGCAGCCCGUGCCACUGCCCUGUGCCAUCUCCACACAUGGCCAUUAGGUUACCAACAUAUAGCCAUCACCCGCAUCAAGCAUGGAUCACCUCAGUCAGGUCACCAUCACACACCGAUGAGAGACAGGUCAGGAUCACAUCAGCACAUAUAUGCCACCAACACACAUGUUCCCUGCAUAUCUCCAUCAUAAUCAGUCAGAUGUAAGCAUUUGUUAUCAGUCACAACACUCUCCUCAUCACCAAAAACCUUGCAGGAAAUGGCCCAGGAAGCGAAUGUGCUAUCUUGACCCAACCUUCACUCUGUGGUACCCCACAGCUAUUAACACUUGCACAGGCACAACCCCACAUGCAUAUACUGCUAUACACACAGACACUUUCUCAGCAAUGUUCACACUCCAAUGGCGGGGCCUAGCAAGGCCAGCCCAUAGGGGCCUCCUGAGGGAGGAGAAAGAGGCAAGGGGAGAGGCAGGAACCUAGGAGAAGGGAGGAGGGUUUUACCUUCAGGCCCAGUUCUAAAAUCUAGGUUAAGAGGGCUCUGGAAUCUCCCACUGGACUUGAAUCCCCUGGAGCAAGUCAUAUAACCACUCCCUGCCUCAGUUCCCUCCUUCCUAAUGUGAGGAACAGAACCUAUACCAUAAGAGAAAUUGGGAGAAUUAAACAAGUUAUUUCACAUCAAGUGUUUGGACAAGCCUGCUCCCAUUGGGAGUGCACCACAGAUUCCCACUGUACCUACAGAUGUAAGCUGGGAUCAACAGAAGUGCUGCUGGCCAGCAGUUACUUACAGACCUGCUCAGGCAGGCUCACCCUUCUCUCCCGGGCCCUAGUGCUGGGAGGCACAGAGAGGGAAGGGGCGAGGGGAAGGGGCGAGGGGAAGGAGAAGAGGGUAGUCUCCGGGAAACAGAUGCUGAAGCACCAAAGUGUAGGCGAGAGAAGAGGCCAGGGCCAGUUCACAGGAGGUGAGGGGGCUGGAGCCUGGGCUGCCGCCGUUGCUCCUAGCCCGAGAGGGCCAGAGACGGAGGUUCGGCGCUCUUCGCGUCCCAGGCGGCCCCGUUGGCCUGGCCUCCGUCGGCCACGUCUGCAGCCCCCGCCUGUGACCCGCAAGGGAGGAGCUGGGGCGGGGAGGGCGGCCCGAUCGCGGGCGCCGGGGACCAGGAAAAUCGGGGCUGCACACACUGACUGAACGAAGGCUGGGGGGCGGCGGCGCAAAGUAAGAAAAGUUGGGCCCGCAUCGACGUGUGUACAUCCGGCGUCUGCCAGCACACCUGUUCUACUUGUCUGAAGACCCGCAGCAGGUUUCCACGAAGGACACCCUGAAGCUCUUCCUCCCUCCAGCCGUGCUUCAGCAGCUCCUCUACCAGUACUGGGGAUAAAGGAAUAGACACUCAGCUUGGCCCUUCUGGCCUGAUGGCCUGCCACCUAUGCCCUGGGGGCUCUGGUAGGACACGUGGUGAGUUCUGCUUCAGGGGUUAGGAAAGUGAGCUUACCUCUCUUGAUCUCUGGGUAGAACUUAUUUGGCUUUGACUUUCAGAGACGGAGAGUUAACCAGCCUUGGGUCUAAAGGUAAGUGAGGCCUGGGCUGGUAGCUUUGUUCAAGGUCAAGGAUCUUUGGCUGAAGCAUGCCUCGCCCUGGGUUUGAGGGCUGGGGUGGCUACUCACCAGA